AUGACCUUGGAACAAUUAUUUUCUCAAAAGAUAUUACCAACAAUGAUGUGAGCCGAAUGCCCAGACUGCCCUCCAGCGCAUGAAUCCCUAGCUUGGAACCAAUCCAAUAUGAGGAAGUCAAUAUCUGACUGUAGAAGGAACUCAUUUCCUGACACUGUUGUGAUCUGAGAGGAAAAAUGGACAGACUCACACAGAAAAGUACUUUUCAAAUCCCUGCCCAGUAAAGUGCAUUUAAUUCAGCCUUUCAAGUUACAUUUUUGUAUUCGUGCCUCUUUCGAAUUUCUGAGAAGUGGAUUGUGAAUCAUAUUUGCUUACUGAGCAACUGGAUUUUCAACACGGACAGUGGUGGUGGUGGCAGUGGAGGAGGACAUCAGUAAACAUGGUAACAUUUACUAAAUCUUCUGAUUGAAUAACACAUGAUGCCAGUCUAUGCUGAUGCACAAUAAGGAACAGAUGGGGUCUUCUGGUAAACCAUGCAAUGUGCCCCUUCUUCGUGUGCUAUUUGGUAAAUGCAAGUUUAAGGCAAAGAAGUCAAAACUUAUAGAAAAUAAAACAGGUUGUUGAAAAAGCUGCUGGCCUCCAUUCUGCAUCCCACUUUCAUCUUAUCCUGCAUCUCUACCAGGCACUAUGAUGUGUGUGUGUGCUCGCGCGCACGCGCCUUGUGGUAAUUUCAAGUCAGCAAAGCAGCACUUGGAAAGUUCACUAGCAUUGUUGGUAACCAACUUGUUUAAAUUUUUGUCUGGAGAAACUGAAUCCAACAUUUCUUGGAUGUGUGUGUGUACAAACAACAUUUGUUCAUUAAAAUAGUAAAUGAUGAGGGAGAACACAGCAAUAGUGUCUGGAAAUUUCCACCAUUGCCCCUUGAAAGCCUCAAGCAGCUUCAAUCGAAGGGUAGACCCAUCUCAAUUCCACUUUGCAACGGAUUUAUGUCAAAAAAUUAUAUAAGCAGUCCACUGACCAGUACACAGAGCAGGCACAUUCCUGGGGCUUUUCUGAAAGCCAUUUGACAACAGUUUCCCAUGAGCUUGGCACAUCGGUCUGUGUCUUUGCAAUCCCUCCAAAGACAGAGGCUGUUUUUUAUAACCUUCAUAUUCCACAGAUAGGAGUUGUGGUGGAACAAUUUUUUUUAAAAAAGAGAAUUGAAUAUUGUAAACUGACAAUGUCCUCAGAAGUAACGGUCUAUAUUUUUAAGGGGUUGUAUUUGUACCUUUAGCUGACGUUGAUUCUGAUGUUUUCAAGUAUCACUUCCAGCAAUAAGGGAGUAUUAGGCUUUAAUUUGGAUGAAAACAUACUAUAUAUAAUGACAUUUAUAGUAAUAAAAAUAUUCUGUGGUUUUAUUUAUUAGCAUGGAAAUGAACUCUUUUUAAAUCAUCACUCUUUAUGCUUAUCAGAUAUACAUUUAUUGUGCAGAGUGGGGAAAAUUAAAAAUAACAAAGAAUAAAAUCGAGAUUGCUCAGGGCUACAGAGAUUAACCAUUGUACACAUUUGAAUUUAAUAGUAGCUAAAUAAAUAUGAUAAUUACCAAUGGGUGCAUCGAUGUACAAGAAAACUAUAUUUAAUAAUUUGUUCAUUAUGAAUAUUACUGACUUUUUUCCAGUUGAACACGCAAACAUGCAUAGGGCAGUCAGUGGAAAUCAAAGAGCAUCACUUUGCUCCUGAGUCUUUUUCUGAAACAUCAUCUUUUCAGUUGCAGAAUAAAUGCUAUUGAUAAUUCC
ensembl:antisense Arhgap15os Rho GTPase activating protein 15, opposite strand